UACGGGGGGAGCAAGCGUUGUUCGGAUUUACUGGGCGUAAAGGGCGCGUAGGCGGUCGUGACAAGUCACCUGUGAAAUCUCCGGGCUUAACCCGGGAAAGGUCAAGUGAUACUGUCGGAACUAGAGUACAGAAGGGGCAACUGGAAUUCUCGGUGUAGCGGUGAAAUGCGCAGAUAUCGGGAAGAACACCCGUGGCGAAGGCGGCUCCUCUGGGACGGUACUGACGCUGAGACGCGAAAGCGUGGGGGAGCGAACAGG
rnacentral:rRNA from 1 species